rnacentral:rRNA from 1 species
CAGGCUUAACACAUGCAAGUCGAACGAUAUAGUGGCAGACGGGUGAGUAACGCGUGGAAACGUGCCUUUCACUACGGAAUAGCUUUUGGAAACGAAAGGUAAUACCGUAUACGCCCUCCGGGGGAAAGAUUUAUCGGUGAAAGAUCGGUCCGCGUUAGAUUAGCUAGUUGGUGAGGUAAGAGCUCACCAAGGCGACGAUCUAUAGCUGGUCUGAGAGG